UACGUAGGGGGCAAGCGUUAUCCGGAUUUACUGGGUGUAAAGGGGGCGCAGACGGCGAUGCAAGCCAGGAGUGAAAGCCCGGGGCCCAACCCCGGGACUGCUCUUGGAACUGCGUGGCUGGAGUGCAGGAGGGGCAGGCGGAAUUCCUGGUGUAGCGGUGAAAUGCGUAAAUAUCAGGAGGAACACCGGUGGCGAAGGCGGCCUGCUGGACUGCAACUGACGUUGAGGCCCGAAAGCGUGGGGAGCAAACAGG
rnacentral:rRNA from 1 species